UACGUAGGAGGCGAGCGUUGUCCGGAAUUAUUGGGCGUAAAGAGCUCGUAGGCGGUUUGUCGCGUCUGCCGUGAAAGUCCGGGGCUCAACUCCGGAUCUGCGGUGGGUACGGGCAGACUAGAGUGAUGUAGGGGAGACUGGAAUUCCUGGUGUAGCGGUGAAAUGCGCAGAUAUCAGGAGGAACACCGAUGGCGAAGGCAGCUCGCUGGGACGUGACUGACGCUGAGACGCGAAAGCGUGGGGAGCAAACAGG
rnacentral:rRNA from 1 species